rnacentral:rRNA from 1 species
AUUGAACGCUGGCGGCAUGCUUUACACAUGCAAGUCGAACGGUAACAGGUUAAGCUGACGAGUGGCGAACGGGUGAGUAAUGCAUCGGAACGUGCCCGAUCGUGGGGGAUAACGCAGCGAAAGCUGCGCUAAUACCGCAUACGAUCUGAGGAUGAAAGCGGGGGACCGUAAGGCCUCGCGCGAUCGGAGCGGCCGAUGUCAGAUUAGGUAGUUGGUGGGGUAAAGGCUCACCAAGCCAACGAUCUGUAGCUGGUCUGAGAGGACGACCAGCCAAACUGGGACUGAGACACGGCCCAGACUCCUACGGGAGGCAGCAGUGGGGAAUUUUGGACAAUGGGCGAAAGCCUGAUCCAGCAAUGCCGCGUGCAGGAAGAAGGCCUUCGGGUUGUAAACUGCUUUUGUACGGAGCGAAAAGGCUCUCUCUAAUACAGGGGGCUCAUGACGGUACCGUAAGAAUAAGCACCGGCUAACUACGUGCCAGCCGCCGCGGUAAGAC